CGCGCACCUGAAUAUACCACCCCCUUUGUUUUGUCAUCAUUUGCUAAAUUAAAAUAUGAACUUAUCCCCGAAAGUAAAUGAUAAUCAUGAUGAGAACAGGCUGCUAUUUCAAAACUAAUAGGGAUUUGCGAUGUAAUAAAACUUUUCAGAAAUUAAUACUGAAGCUAACUAAUUUUUGGCCAAGCAACAUGAUUAGUGCCCAGAACCAAUCUCAUCCUAUAACAUUUUAUUACGAUAUAAUUGCUUUGGCUUCUAGAUUGAACCAUCCAGAGCCUCAGCGUAUAGACCCUGUGAUUGUGUCAACAAGAAUUCUUCUGAAUUGAAUUGCCUCAGAAGAGAAUUGUAGUUCCAACUUUAAUGCCAUAUGAAGGCCACUCAUUUUCUUUUCUCCCAUUUCAAGCUCUUUUCUUUUUGCCCUUUUUUUCACAUUUUUUCUUCAAAGAUCAAAUGGUUACUUGAAAUUGAGCGCUUUAAAUUUAGAGGCAUGCUAAGCUUACUGCCUCUUACCUCAUG
rnacentral:misc_RNA from 1 species